rnacentral:rRNA from 1 species
GAUUCCCUACGGGGUGCAGCAGGCGCGAAAACUUUACAAUGCGAGCAAUCGUGAUAAGGAAACCCUGAGUGCCUGUCAACGCAGGCUGUUCUGGUGUCUAACACACACCAGGAGAAAGGGCGGGGCAAGACCGGUGCCAGCCGCCGCGGUAAUACCGGCUGCUCGAGUGAUAGCCACUUUUACUGGGCUUAAAGCGUUCGUAGCUUGGUCGUUAAGUCUCUGGGGAAAUCUUUUGGCUCAACCAAAAGGCGUCUCAGGGAAACUGGCGACCUAGGAACCGGGAGAGGUAAGACGUACUUCGGGGGUAGGAGUGAAAUCUUGUAAUCCCCGAGGGACGACCGAUGGCGAAGGCAUCUUACCAGAACGGCUUCGACAGUGAGGGACGAAAGCUGGGGGAGCAAACCGGAUUAGAUACCCGGGUAGUCCCAGCCGUAAACGAUGUGCGUUAGGUGUGUCAGCGACCACGAGUCGCUGAGGUGCCGAAGGGAAACCGUGAAACGCACCGCCUGGGAAGUACGGUCGCAAGGCUGAAACUUAAAGGAAUUGGCGGGGGAGCACCACAACGGGUGGAGUCUGCGGUUUAAUUGGAUUCAACGCCGGACAACUCACCGGAUACGACAGCGGAAUGAUAGUCGGGCUGAAGACUCUACUUGACUAGCUGAGAGGUGG